UGGGGAAUAUUGCACAAUGGGCGAAAGCCUGAUGCAGCGACGCCGCGUGAGGGAUGACGGCCUUCGGGUUGUAAACCUCUUUCAGCAGGGACGAAGCGCAAGUGACGGUACCUGCAGAAGAAGCACCGGCUAACUACGUGCCAGCAGCCGCGGUAAUACGUAGGGUGCAAGCGUUGUCCGGAAUUACUGGGCGUAAAGAGUUCGUAGGCGGUUUGUCGCGUCGUUUGUGAAAACCAGCAGCUCAACUGCUGGCUUGCAGGCGAUACGGGCAGCCUUUAGUACUGCAGGGGAGACUGGAAUUCCUGGUGUAGCGGUGAAAUGCGCAGAUAUCAGGAGGAACACCGGUGGCGAAGGCGGGUCUCUGGGCAGUAACUGACGCUGAGGAACGAAAGCGUGGGUAGCGAACAGG
rnacentral:rRNA from 1 species